rnacentral:rRNA from 1 species
GUGAGGAAUUUUGCGCAAUGGGGGCAACCCUGACGCAGCGACGCCGCGUGGAGGACGAAGUCUUUCGGGAUGUAAACUCCUGUCAGUGGGGACGAUAAUGACGGUACCCACAGAGGAAGCACCGGCUAACUCCGUGCCAGCAGCCGCGGUAAGACGGAGGGUGCAAGCGUUGUUCGGAAUUACUGGGCGUAAAGCGUAUGUAGGCGGCAAGUUAAGUUCAAUGUUAAAGCCCACGGCUCAACCGAGGAGAUGCAUUGAAUACUGGCUAGCUAGAGGGUGUUAGAGGAAGACGGAAUUCCCAGUGUAGCGGUGAAAUGCGUAGAUAUUGGGAGGAACAUCGGUAGCGAAAGCGGUCUUCUGGGACACACCUGACGCUGAGGUACGAAAGCGUGGGGAGCAAACGGGAUUAGAAACCCGAGUAGUCC